rnacentral:rRNA from 1 species
UAGUCCAUACUGUAAACGAUGCAGACUAAGUCUUGUGGCAUUCGACCGCCUCAGGACCUAAGCGAACGCGAUAAGUCUGCCGCCUGAGGACUACGGUCGCAAGACUAAAACUCAAAGGAAUUGACGGGGGCCCGCACAAGCGGUGGAGCAUGUGGCUUAAUUCGAUGCAACGCGAAGAACCUUACCUAGACUUGACAUUGACUUGAAAUACUGAUGAAAGUUAGUAUGUCUUCGGACAAGUUAAC